AGCAAUCUUUCACCAUUUUGACCACUCAAAGCAGCAGAAACCAGAUUAUCUUGCAAUAGAGAAGUUGAAUUCAAAAUUUGUGGCCCUUUCGUAAAUGAAAGGUUCAUAGCAGCUUCUUGAUCUAGGUUGUGAUUGAGAGGAAGAUUUGAAAAGCGCGAAUCCUUGAUCAGGCAUAAGGCAUUCUGAGGCUCAGAAGAUGAUAUAAGAUAUUGAUAAUCAGUUUCUGACGACCGAAUACAUUGAAGACCCAGUUUUUGGCAAUCCAUCAAAAGUCUCUUUGAGUUUUCCUCAUCACCUCCAGUUGGUGCACAAAUACUAGAGUUUGCGGCAACUUCGGAAACCUUACUCUGCUGCUGAGUUUCAAGAUGCAGUUGUUGCAUCCCUCCUUUAAUCCCACUCUUUUCCAGCUUCCCUUGUUUUCCAGGGAGAAAUGCCAAUGCUGCUGGGGGAGAACCAUAAAAAUCAUCUGAAA
rnacentral:misc_RNA from 1 species